rnacentral:rRNA from 1 species
AUUGAACGCUGGCGGCAGGCUUAACACAUGCAAGUCGAACGGAAGAAGGAAGCUUGCUCCUGGAUUCAGCGGCGGGCGGGUGUGUAAUACCGGGGAGUCUCCCUGGGUGUGGGGGAUAACGUCCGCAGAGGGGCGCUAAUAGCACAUAAGUUCUGGUGGAGAAAGGGGGGGAGCUUUGGACCGCACGCUUGGAGAGGAGCCUAGGUCGGAUUAGCUAGUUGGUGGGGUAAAGGCCUACCAAGGCGGCGAUCCGUAACUGGUCUGAGAGGAUGAGCAGCCACACGGGAGGUGGGACACGGCCCAGGCGCCUGAGGUAGGCAGCAGAGGGGUAUGUUAGACAAUGGGCGCAAGCCUGAUACAGCGAUGCGACGUGCGAGAAGAAAACCUUCGGUUCGUGAACACCUUUUUCAGGUAGCAAAACGCUUUUGCCUAAUACCCAGCGCGAAUGACGGUACCGUAUAAAGAAGCACCGGCUAACUACGUG